AGAGACAGCAGCAGCCGCGGGAAUACGUAGGGUGCAAGCGUUAAUCGGAAUUACUGGGCGUAAAGCGUGCGCAGGCGGUUAUAUAAGACAGAUGUGAAAUCCCCGGGCUCAACCUGGGAACUGCAUUUGUGACUGUAUAGCUAGAGUACGGCAGAGGGGGAUGGAAUUCCGCGUGUAGCAGUGAAAUGCGUAGAUAUGCGGAGGAACACCGAUGGCGAAGGCAAUCCCCUGGGCCUGUACUGACGCUCAUGCACGAAAGCGUGGGGAGCAAACAGGAUUAGAUACCCGCGUAGUCCCUGUCUCUUAUAC
rnacentral:rRNA from 1 species